CUACAUAAAAAUAUUUAUAUGCGGAAAUUGUUAAACUCUGUUUGCACUUAACAAUUCUGAAUAAUAUUGAAACUAACAAUAGGCAGAAUGUAAAGAUUUUGUGGAAAUUUCUGACUUCAGUAGCAAAAUGAAAAUUUUAAAAAUUUUUCAAAAAAAAUUUUAAAACCUUUUCAGUUUCAUUUUAAUUUCUCUUCAGGUAUAUCAGUGAAAUGCCUUACAAGAGAUUUAAUUCAGAUGCUGGUAUAUUUUUCUCUCUGACGAAUCAGGCCUCUCCUGCUGAAUGUCCAUGAGACACCAAUGGCUUUUGGUACUUGCACAUUCUGUGCCUGCAUCCUCAUCCAGUGCAAGACAAGCACAAGAAGCACUCUGACUAUAUUUGCUGUGAGCUUCAGCCUCUCAAGAACAUCACGAUACUGUUUGUAAGUGGCCACCUUUCUUCUACUCAGCCAAGAUCUCACAACCCAGACAGAAAGUUGAACUGGACAAAAAAAAAGGAGCAAUGCUGCUAUGAAGUUGCAGUACAACAGCUUAAAAGGAAAUUGCAAAAUUAGCAAGGGGAAAAUCGUUCCAUGGGUCUGAAGAGGAGGCAUUUAUGAAAAAAGACACUUUCAAAUACAGUCAGAUGUGCAACAACUCCCACAUGCAGAAGAGGAAUUCAUCUUCAGCAGGCAAUUAACAGGGGCCAAUAAGUUGCAAAGAGUGAUUUAGAAAUUUGGCUUGGGGCUUAGCCAAAGGGAAUCAAGUUAUGGGAAGGUAGGAUGACUGCUAAAGACUUAAGGUUUUUAAGAGCCAGUAUCUGAUCAAAGGAACAUAAGGACUGGGAAAAUGUCAGGAUCUUGGAUAGUCUUAGUAAAACAAAGGAGAGUGGAUUAGUCUUGAAGACCCUUGACACUAAGUCACAAAAGUUUAUGAAAGGAGGGACUAAGAUCAACAUUACUUGCGACCUCUGUCUGCUGUUCCUUAGCUUUGCACCUCCAUAAGGAGCCUGGCUCCUUCUCCCUGGUGGUAUUUUGGGUACUGUGUGCUGCUCUUGGGUCCCCCUGGCUGAACAAGCCCAACUCUCAGGUCAAGUGCUCCUGCUCCAGUGCCCUCCCAUCGUGGAUGUCUUUUCCUGAGCACAUCCUGGGGAUUCCUUUCUUAUAUUGAACCAUUACUGAAAUCAACACUGGGGCUCAACCUGAUGAGCACUGACUGAACAGGGAUAAUCCUUUUGCUCACCGUGGUCCUGCUGAUAAAUUCCUGUAUAUUUUUGGCAUUCCUGCUCUUGUACAUCUGCUGCCUUCCAGGACUCCCAGUUGUUUUUUUUAGCAGGACUGCUCCCCAGCCAGUCAAACCUCAGCCUGUCCUGGUGCA
rnacentral:lncRNA from 1 species